CUCGGGCCCCGGGGCUGGGGCGGACGGGCGGGGCCCUGGGCGCCCGGGCCGCCUCCCUGCUCUCUCCCGGCGUCUGGCCGCAGCGCCGGCUCCAGGUUUCCCCUCCCAGCGUGGGGUGGCAGCCUGGAGAGGCAUCUGCAGAAACCACGCGAGCCCCGGGGAGGAGAGCCCAUGGUGCACACAUAGGCGCGUGUCGGGGACCCCAAGCCCCUGGGCCCCGGGCACACUCGCAGAACCGCUGCAGGGACGUGGCCCAAGCUGGAAUUGCCCUGCGCACAGGCCAGGACCUUUGGGAGCAGCGACUGUCGAGAUAAGGUCAACGGCGGGCCCGCGGUGACUCAGCUCCCCUUGGCCCCGAGGAAGCUCGGCUGGCCCGGGGGGGCGGGGCCUGCGACGCUCCGCCCCCUGCUCCGGCUCCCGGAAGGCGCCCCACACCACCCCCAGCUUCCCAGAGGCGCCCAGAUUUCCCACGGGUUUUCCUGGUGGUGUCGUAACGAGCCCGGCCCUUUCGGAGCGUCCCAGGGCCCCGAGUCAGCUCCCUGUGACGGGACACAUGAGGAUCUGAGCGCCGCACGCUCCCUGACUGUGUGUGUGCGUGUGGUAAGGACAGGGCCAGACCCUCUGAGGCUUCCUCCCACCCCACUUCCUGUUUCAUCCAGAUGCCAACAUCCACGUGGACUAAUCUGCCGAGAUCAUUCCUGACCUCCAGCAUCACAAUUUCCAAACCUGUUCAGUGUUCCCCAGCUUCUCCUGCCUGACUCGCUGCAAGGUCAGAGAGCCUCUGACAUCUUAGCCUCCUACGUCACAUUAAAGGCCUCAGUGUCCCCUUUCUAGGUUCUGGGCCUCCCUCCACUCCUGCUCUUGAACCUUAACAAUGACUUUUUUUGUGUAUCGGACUGGGGAUUGAGUUACAGCCCAGCCCAUGUUUUAUUCUGAGACAGGGCCCUGCUAAAUUGCUAGUUCCAGGCUAGGCUGGAACUUGCUCUGAUCCUCCUGCUUCAGCCUCCCCAGUGUUCGGAUUACAGGCAUGCACCACCACGUCUGUCAUCAACAACCUUCUGUCCCGACUCAUUUGGAUCAUCUGGACAACCAACCACUUUCUCCAGCCCUAUGUUAGUUAAAGUCAUGCUAUUUGCUAAAACAAACACAUCCCAAACUGUGUAUCAGCUCAACCUAGUUCAUUUCCGGAUUGCAGAACGCUUCUGAGCAGGGAUGCCCGUCCUCCAGGUGAUGAUCCAGGAGCCGGGCUCCGCCAUCUCCAACGUGUGCUUUCCAGGGCUGUCAGGCCGGUGGCUUAGCAGCAGCAGAAAUUUAUUUCCCUUGGUUCAGGGGGCCAAAAGUCUGAGAUCAAGAUACCAACAUGCUCAGGCCCCGGGGGGCCCCUCCUCUGAGCUUCAGACUGCAAACUCCUCCUUGUGUCUCACUUAGGAAGAGACAAGCAGCUCGCUGGCUUCAUUCUACAGGUACAAUCUCAACCCAAAGGCUCUGCCCUUGGGUCCCAAUUACCUCCUAAUACUCCCCCUCCAAAUACUUUUACAGUGGGGGCUUGGGGAGGACACAAAAGUUCAGUCCAUAAAGGCGCAUCAGACUGGACGGAGGGGAAGGGCAGGGUGCAGAAGACACAGCUGCUGGUUCACUGCCCUGGCUGGGAGUGACAUCUCAUUCCUGGUCACCGUGCCAUCAGCAAGACAUCCGGGGCGUCCUGACUCCUCUGAAAGUCACAGGGAGAACACCAGUUUCAAAGCAGCUCUUCUGGCCCGGCUUGAUGGUUUUCCUCGUACUUCCUUCCUCUGGGACCCUACAGUAGGCAGAGGGG
ensembl:lncRNA